rnacentral:rRNA from 1 species
GACGAACGCUGGCGGCGUGCCUAACACAUGCAAGUCGAACGAAGCAUCUUAGAAAGCUUGCUUUCAGAGAUGACUGAGUGGCGGACGGGUGAGUGACGCGUGAGCAACCUGGCCUUUACAGGGGAAUAACAGUUGGAAACGACUGCUAAUACCGCAUAACACUUUAGAAUCACAUGAUUCAGAAGUCAAAGAUUUUAUCGGUAAAGGAUGGGCUCGCGUCCCAUUAGCUAGUUGGUAGGGUAACGGCCUACCAAGGCAACGAUGGGUAGCCGACCUGAGAGGGUGAUCGGCCACACUGGAACUGAGACACGGUCCAGACUCCUACGGGAGGCAGCAGUGGGGAAUAUUGGGCAAUGGGCGCAAGCCUGACCCAGCAACGCCGCGUGAAGGAAGAAGGUCUUCGGAUUGUAAACUUUUGUUGUCAGUGAAGAAAAAGGACUGUAACUGACGAGAAAGCCCCGGCUAACUACGUGCCAGCAGCCGCAGUAACAC